AGGAGGAGGAGCCGACCGGAGAGAGAUGGAGCUUCUGGCCAGACUUCGGAACAAGAAGGACACAACAACCUUGUAAGACACAACAGUUCAGGCUGACCUCUGUUUUGAUGGAUCCUGAGUGAAGGCUACAGUUGGGGAACAACAACAACAACUACUACUACUACUUACUACUUCUACUACUUCUACUACUACUACUACUACUACUACUACUACUACUAGCAGCAGCAACUACUACUACUUACUACUUCUACUACUACUACUAGCAGCAGCAACUACUACUACUUACUACUUCUACUACUACUACUAGCAGCAACUACUACUACUUACUACUACUACUACUACUACUAGCAGCAGCAGCAGCAGCAGGCUGGCUAGAGAGAUGGCUCAGCGGUUAAGAGCACUUAGCUGCUCUUCCAGAGGUUCCGAGUUCAACCUACUUGGUGGCUCACAACCAUCUGUAAUGGCAUCUGAUGCCCUCUUCUGGUGUGUCUGAAGAGAGCAACAAUGUACUCAUAUACAUUAAAUAAAUAAAUCUUUUAAUAAUA
rnacentral:lncRNA from 1 species